GAGUUUGAUCAUGGCUCAGGACGAACGCUGGCGGCGUGCUUAACACAUGCAAGUCGAACGAAGAGCGAUGGAAGCUUGCUUCUAUCAAUCUUAGUGGCGAACGGGUGAGUAACGCGUAAUCAACCUGCCCUUCAGAGGGGGACAACAGUUGGAAACGACUGCUAAUACCGCAUACGAUCUAACCUCGGCAUCGAGGAAAGAUGAAAGGUGGCCUCUAUGUAUAAGCUAUCACUGAAGGAGGGGAUUGCGUCUGAUUAGCUAGUUGGAGGGGUAACGGCCCACCAAGGCGAUGAUCAGUAGCCGGUCUGAGAGGAUGAACGGCCACAUUGGGACUGAGACACGGCCCAGACUCCUACGGGAGGCAGCAGUGGGGAAUCUUCCGCAAUGGACGAAAGUCUGACGGAGCAACGCCGCGUGAGUGAUGACGGCCUUCGGGUUGUAAAGCUCUGUUAAUCGGGACGAAAGGCCUUCUUGCGAAUAGUUAGAAGGAUUGACGGUACCGGAAUAGAAAGCCACGGCUAACUACGUGCCAGCAGCCGCGGUAAUACGUAGGUGGCAAGCGUUGUCCGGAAUUAUUGGGCGUAAAGCGCGCGCAGGCGGAUCAGUCAGUCUGUCUUAAAAGUUCGGGGCUUAACCCCGUGAGGGGAUGGAAACUGCUGAUCUAGAGUAUCGGAGAGGAAAGUGGAAUUCCUAGUGUAGCGGUGAAAUGCGUAGAUAUUAGGAAGAACACCAGUGGCGAAGGCGACUUUCUGGACGAAAACUGACGCUGAGGCGCGAAAGCCAGGGGAGCGAACGGGAUUAGAUACCCCGGUAGCCCUGGCCGUAAACGAUGGGUACUAGGUGUAGGAGGUAUCGACCCCUUCUGUGCCGGAGUUGACGCAAUAAGUACCCCGCCUGGGGAGUACGACCGCAAGGUUGAAACUCAAAGGAAUUGACGGGGGCCCGCACAAGCGGUGGAGUAUGUGGUUUAAUUCGACGCAACGCGAAGAACCUUACCAGGUCUUGACAUUGAUGGACAGAACUAGAGAUAGUUCCUCUUCUUCGGAAGCCAGAAAACAGGUGGUGCACGGUUGUCGUCAGCUCGUGUCGUGAGAUGUUGGGUUAAGUCCCGCAACGAGCGCAACCCCUAUCUUAUGUUGCCAGCACUUCGGGUGGGAACUCAUGAGAGACUGCCGCAGACAAUGCGGAGGAAGGCGGGGAUGACGUCAAAUCGUCAUGCCCCUUAUGACCUGGGCUACACACGUACUACAAUGGGAGUUAAUAGACGGAAGCGAGAUCGCGAGAUGGAGCAAACCCGAGAAACACUCUCUCAGUUCGGAUCGUAGGCUGCAAACUCGCCUACGUGAAGUCGGAAUCGCUAGUAAUCGCAGGUCAGCAUACUGCGGUGAAUACGUUCCCGGGCCUUGCACACACCGCCCGUC
rnacentral:rRNA from 1 species